rnacentral:rRNA from 1 species
UACGAAGGGUGCAAGCGUUACUCGGAAUCACUGGGCGUAAAGCGUGCGUAGGCGGUUCGUUAAGUCUGCUGUGAAAGCCCUGGGCUCAACCUGGGAACUGCAGUGGAUACUGGCGGACUAGAGUGUGAUAGAGGAUGGUGGAAUUCCCGGUGUAGCGGUGAAAUGCGUAGAUAUUGGGGAGGAACACCAGUGGCGAAGGCGGCUCACUGGACCGGAACUGACGCUGAGGCGCGAAAAGCGUGGGGAGCAAACGGG